rnacentral:rRNA from 1 species
GACGAACGCUGGCGGCGUGCUUAACACAUGCAAGUCGAACGGAAAGGCCCUGCUUUUGUGGGGUGCUCGAGUGGCGAACGGGUGAGUAACACGUGAGUAACCUGCCCUUGACUUUGGGAUAACUUCAGGAAACUGGGGCUAAUACCGGAUAGGAGCUCCUGCUGCAUGGUGGGGGUUGGAAAGUUUCGGCGGUUGGGGAUGGACUCGCGGCUUAUCAGCUUGUUGGUGGGGUAGUGGCUUACCAAGGCUUUGACGGGUAGCCGGCCUGAGAGGGUGACCGGCCACAUUGGGACUGAGGUACGGCCCAGACUCCUACGGGGGGCAGAAGUGGGGAAUAUUGCACAAUGGGCGGAAGCCUGAUGCAGCAACGCCGCGUGCGGGAUGACGGCCUUCUGGUUAUAAACCGCUUUCGCCUGUGACGAAGCGUGAGUGACGGUAAUGGGUAAAGAAGCACCGGCUAACUACGUG